GGAUGAACGCUAGCGAUAGGCUUAACCCAUGCAAGUCGAGGGGCAGCACAAGGUAGCUUGCUAUCUGGGUGGCGACCGGCGCACGGGUGCGUAACGCGUAUGCAACUUGCCCUAUACAGGAGGAUAACCCGUCGAAAGACGGACUAAUACUGCGUAUGCUCACAACUUGGCAUCAAGUGGUGAGGAAAGAAAUUCGGUAUAGGAUAGGCAUGCGUCCCAUUAGCUUGUUGGUGAGGUAACGGCUCACCAAGGCAACGAUGGGUAGGGGAACUGAGAGGUUUAUCCCCCACACUGGUACUGAGACACGGACCAGACUCCUACGGGAGGCAGCAGUGAGGAAUAUUGGUCAAUGGGCGCGAGCCUGAACCAGCCAAGUCGCGUGAAGGAUGACUGUCUUAUGGAUUGUAAACUUCUUUUAUACGGGAAUAACAAGAGUCACGUGUGACUCCCUGCAUGUACCGUAUGAAUAAGCAUCGGCUAACUCCGUG
rnacentral:rRNA from 1 species